rfam:Archaeoglobus fulgidus DSM 4304, complete genome.
GCCCCCGUGGGGUAGGGGACAUCCUGGUGGCCUUCGGAGCCACAGACCCGGGUUCGAUUCCCGGCGGGGGCG